rnacentral:rRNA from 1 species
ACACGCAUGACACACUGCAUAUUCAAUAAGCGGAGGAAAAGAAACUAACAAGGAUUCCCUAGUAACGGCGAGUGAAGCGGGAAGAGCUCAAAUUUGAAAUCUUCAGGGGUUUCCCUUGACGAAUUGUAGUUUAAGGAAGUGUUUUCUGUUAGAGAGGUGGUAAAAGUUCUUUGGAAUAGGACAUCAUAGAGGGUGAGAAUCCCGUAUUUGAUCACUUUCUACUAACGUUGUGAUACACUUUCAAAGAGUCGGAUUGUUUGGGAAUGCAGUCCAAAAUGGGUGGUAAAUUUCAUCUAAAGCUAAAUAUUGGCGAGAGACCGAUAGCGAACAAGUACCGUGAGGGAAAGAUGAAAAGAACUUUGAAAAGAGAGUUAAACAGUACGUGAAAUUGUCAAAAGGGAAGCGUUUGACACCAGUGUUGUUUUUCCGAAAAUCAAUUAAGAAUGGCCGGAUUUUAAGUUUCACGACCUUAAAAGCUUGUUUCUUACUUUUCUUGUCUUUCUUAAUGCACUUUUCGGUUAACAAGUCAACAUCAAUUUCUUUUGUUGUAAAAGGUUAAGAGGAAGGUGGCUUUACUUUCGGGUAAAGUGUUUAUAGCCUUUUAACUCUGCAAUCGGAGAGAUUGAGGUCUGCAGCGUAGAUCCUUCGGGGCUAGAUACGUUUGUGCUAAGUUAUAGCUUUUCAUAGACAACUUGUUGACUAUGUUUAGUCUUGUAGCUUACUCGCAUGCGCUAUUUUACCUACGCUUAGGAUGUUGAUCUACAGAGCGAGAGU